rnacentral:rRNA from 1 species
GACGAACGCUGGCGGCGUGCCUAAUACAUGCAAGUUGAGCGCUGAAGGUUGGUACUUGUACCAACUGGAUGAGCCGCGAACGGGUGAGUAACGCGUGGGGCAUCUGCCUUUGAUCGGGGGACAACAUUUGGAAACGAAUGCUAAUACCGCAUAAAAACUUUAAACACAAUUUUUAAGUUUGAAAGAUGCCAUUGCAUCACUCAAUGAUGAUCUCGCGUUGUAUUAGCUAGUUGGUGAGGUAAAGGCGCACCAAGGCGAUGAUACAUAGCCGACCUGAGAGGGUGGUUGGCCACAUUGGGACUGAGACACGGCCCAAACGCCUACGGGAGGCGGCAGUAGGGAAACGUCGGGAAGGGACGAAAGUCUGACCGAGCAACGCCGCGUGAGUGAAGAAGGUUUUCGGAUCGUAAAACUCUGUUGGUAGGGAAGAACGUUGGUGAGAGUGGAAAGCUCAUCAAGUGACGGUAACUACCCAGAAAGGGACGGCUAACUACGUG